rnacentral:rRNA from 1 species
GCACCGGCUAACUACGUGCCAGCAGCCGCGGUAAUACGUAGGGUGCAAGCGUUGUCCGGAAUUAUUGGGCGUAAAGAGCUCGUAGGCGGUCUGUCGCGUCUGCUGUGAAAACUCGGGGCUUAACUCCGGGCCUGCAGUGGGUACGGGCAGACUAGAGUGCGGUAGGGGAGACUGGAAUUCCUGGUGUAGCGGUGAAAUGCGCAGAUAUCAGGAGGAACACCGGUGGCGAAGGCGGGUCUCUGGGCCGUAACUGACGCUGAGGAGCGAAAGCAUGGGGAGCGAACAGGAUUAGAUACCCUGGUAGUCCAUGCCGUAAACGUUGGGCGCUAGGUGUGGGGCUUGUUUCCACGAGUUCCGUGCCGCAGCUAACGCAUUAAGCGCCCCGCCUGGGGAGUACGGCCGCA